rnacentral:rRNA from 1 species
AGACGUCUACAUUAGAUACCCGGGUAGUCCCAGCCGUAAACUAUGCGCGUUAGGUGUAUCGGUGACCACGAGUCACCGAGGUGCCGAAGGGAAACCGCGAAACGUGCCGCCUGGGAAGUACGGUCGCAAGGCUGAAACUUAAAGGAAUUGGCGGGGAGCACCACAACGGGUGGAGCCUGCGGUUUAAUUGGACUCAACGCCGGGAAGCUCACCGGAUAAGACAGCGGAAUGAUUGCCGGGCUGAAGACUCUGCAUGACUAGCUG